rnacentral:rRNA from 1 species
AUGAGGGAAUUCCAUCCGCAAUGGAUUGAAUGGGUUAGAAAGAUCCUGGUAGGGGGUACAGUAAGUGUGAAGCUGAAUGACGAGGUAGGACCCUAUUUUCAAAGCUCGAAAGGGGUGCGCCAGGGUGACCCAUUUUCGCCUUCUCUCUUUAACUUAGCCGCUGACUGCUUGACAAAAAUGGUGAUAAAGGCUCAACAAAAUGGCUUGUUUCAAGGCUUAGCGUCUGAUUUGAUACCCAAUGGGGUGGCCAUCUUGCAAUAUGCGGAUGACACGAUCCUAUGCUUCGAAGAUAACCCUAGAAAUGCUCUCAAUAUUAAGUUGUUGAUGUAUCUCUCUGAAGUCAUGUCCGGGCUAAAAAUCAAUUUUAUGAAAAGCGAAAUUUUUUCGAUUCGUGCUGAUGACAAUACUAUGCAAAGCUAUGCUGAAAUAUUCAACUGCCAGAUAGGUAAUUUUCCUAUCAAAUACCUAGGCGUGCCUGUGAGUUAUGCUGGCUUAAAAUGCAGUGACUGGACCUUUGUUGAUGACAAGUUCAUUGAUCACUGCGAAAACUGGGUUAGUGAAAUCCUAUCCAUGGGAGGAAGGCUGAUCAAAGUGAACUCUGUGCUUUCUCACAUUCCUACUUUCUACAUGUCUAUGUUUCUUUUGAACAAGACUACCCUGGAAAAAUGGGACAAACCCAGGAGGAAAUUUUUUUGGCACAAAAACAAGAAAAAGAGAGGCUACCACAUGGUUAGGUGGAGCCGUAUAUGUAGAUCCAAAAAGAAAGGGGGUUUGGGUGUUAAGGACUUGAGGAAAUAG